UACCAGCACCCCGAGUGGUCGGGACGUUUUAUUGGGCCUAAAGCAUCCGUAGCCGGUUCUACAAGUCUUCCGUUAAAUCCAACUGCUUAACAGGUGGGCUGCGGAAGAUACUAUAGAGCUAGGAGGCGGGAGAGGCAAGCGGUACUCGAUGGGUAGGGGUAAAAUCCGUUGAUCCAUUGAAGAACCACCAGUGGCGAAGGCGGCUUGCCAGAACGCGCUCGACGGUGAGGGAUGAAAGCUGGGGGAGCAACCGG
rnacentral:rRNA from 1 species